rnacentral:rRNA from 1 species
GACGAACGCUGGCGGCGUGCCUAAUACAUGCAAGUCGAGCGAAUGACGAGAAGCUUGCUUCUCUGAUUUAGCGGCGGACGGGUGAGUAACACGUGGGCAACCUGCCCUACAGAUCGGGAUAACUCAGGGAAACCUGGGCUAAUACCGGAUAAUCCUUCGAAUCACAUGUUAUGAAGUUGAAAGGCGCUUCGCCGUCACUGUAGGAUGGGCUCGCGGUGCAUUAGCUAGUUGGUGGGGUAACGGCCUACCAAGGCAACGAUGCAUAGCCGACCUGAGAGGGUGAUCGGCCACAUUGGGACUGAGACACGGCCCAAACUCCUACGGGAGGCAGCAGUAGGGAAUCUUCCACAAUGGACGAAAGUCUGAUGGAGCAACGCCGCAUGAGUGAUGAAGGUUUUCGGAUCGUAAAACUCCGUUGUAAGGGAAGAACAAGUACGUUAGGAAAUGAACGUACCUUGACGGUACCUUAUUAGAAAGCCACGGCUAACUACGUGCCAGCCGCCGCCGUAA